GGAAUGAGAAAUACAAACAAAGGCAAGAAUGAAGAAAAAAAGAGAAGAACGAUAGAAAAAAAGAAGAAAUGAAGUUUGCAACUGGAAAUAAGGAAAAGUCGGGAUGAUGUAAGCAACCGAGCAAAUGCAUACUAGAAACGGUUAACUUCUUAGGUGCAUUCAUUCCCCAAAAUGUGCAGUUACUAAUCUGUUAAAGCCCUAAUCGCUAACAAGGUUGUUGAUAUAUUGAGUAAAAGCAGGUGGUU
rnacentral:lncRNA from 1 species